AGAACGCUCGUAGUCGGAUUUCGGGGCGGGUCGACCGGUCUGCCGAUGGGUACGCACUGGUCGACGCGUCCUUCCUUCCGGAGACCGUGCCUACUCUUAACUGAGCGGGGGCGGGAGACGGAACGUUUACUUUGAAAAAAUCAGAGUGUUUCAAGCAGGCAGCUCGCUCUUGCAUGGAUUAGCAUGGGAUAAUGAAAUAGGACUUUGGUGCUAUUUUGUUGGUUUCGAACACCGAAGUAAUGAUGAGAAGGGACAGUCAGGGGCACUCGUAUUCCGCCGAGAGAGGUGAAAUUCUCAGACCAGCGGAAGACGAACCACUGCGAAAGCAUUUGCCAGGGAUGUUUUCACUGAUCAAGAACGAAAGUUAGGGGAUCGAAGACGAUCAGAUACCGUCGUAGUCUUGACCAUAAACCAUGCCGACUAGGGAUUGGAGGAUGUUCACUGAUUGACUCCUUCAGCACCUUACGGGAAACUAAAGUCUU
rnacentral:rRNA from 1 species